UACGAAGGGGGGCUAGCGUUGCUCGGAAUCACUGGGCGUAAAGGGUGCGUAGGCGGGUCUUUUAAGUCAGGGGUGAAAUCCUGGAGCUCAACUCCAGAACUGCCUUUGAUACUGAGGAUCUUGAGUUCGGGAGAGGUGAGUGGAACUGCGAGUGUAGAGGUGAAAUUCGUAGAUAUUCGCAAGAACACCAGUGGCGAAGGCGGCUCACUGGCCCGGUACUGACGCUGAGACGCGAAAGCGUGGGGAGCAAACAGG
rnacentral:rRNA from 1 species